GAUGAACGCUGGCGGCGUGCCUAAUACAUGCAAGUCGAGCGUACGGACGAGAAGCUUGCUUCUCUGAUGUUAGCGGCGGACGGGUGAGUAACACGUGGAUAACCUACCUAUAAGACUGGGAUAACUUCGGGAAACCGGAGCUAAUACCGGAUAAUAUUUUGAACCGCAUGGUUCAAAAGUAAAAGACGGUCUUGCUGUCUCUUAUAGAUGGAUCCGCGCUGCAUUAGCUAGUUGGUAAGGUAACGGCUUACCAAGGCAACGAUGCAUAGACGACCGGAGAGGGUGAUCGGCCACACUGGAACUGAGACGCGGUCCAGACUCCUACGGGAGGCAGCAGUAGGGAAUCUUACGCAAUGGGCGAGAGCCUGACGGAGCAACGCCGCGUGAGAGAUGAAGGUCUUCGGAUCGUAAAACUCUGUUAUUAGGGAAGAACAGAUGUGUAAGGAAAUGUGCACAGAUUGACGGUACCUAAUCAGAAAGCCACGGCUAACUACGUG
rnacentral:rRNA from 1 species